rnacentral:lncRNA from 1 species
UGACAGACUGUUCAGUCUUUAAUAAUGUGAGAAUAAACAGAAUAAAUUAAAAGCACACCAUAUUCUCAGCUUCCUCAUGGGCUUUCUCCAAACAGCUUGAACAAUUGCAAAAUAAUAUUCAGGAACCAUGAUAGUGUUUGGUACAUAGAGGACACUGGAAAUAGUUUUCUUAACUGAAAAAGUGACAAGAAUAACAGAAUUAAUGAAUGACAUCAGAGCUGAAAUCCCAAACCGUAAAUCAUAAAAGGAUCAGAUACCAAAGGGCCCUGACUAAUAUAAGAUGAUUUUUUAAAACUGGAAUCUCAGUGGAUUCGUCUCAACACGGCCAGAUGAAUGAUUCGUCCGGGGACCAAUGAACUUGGUAGAAUUUCAGAUAGUAUUCGGUUGUCCAGAAAAAAAAAAAAAAAAGCAUAAAAAGUAAUAGGCCAUAACUGAGAUGGGUGGGGCUUAUUCUAGAUAAGAUAGUCAAGGACUGACAUAUGGGA